CUUCACUACUGAUUUUGAUCCUUAGAUUCUUCUGUUUCAGCCUUACCACGUUUUAUACCAGCUCUACAACAAACAUUGAAAGGAAAACUAGGAUAUGCUGCACACUAGAGAGAGAAACAGUUAAACAUGUAAUAAUUAUCUUUCCCUUUUUGCAAACUGUAUUAGAAACUAAUAAACAAUUUUAGUCAUAUUUUCCUAAAUAUGACUUUGGGGUUACCUAAAAUUCUAGAGG
ensembl:lincRNA